AUGGUGAAGGCGCUGCGGAGGGUGGCCAAGGAUGGGCUGCAGAUUGGGCACCCGCGAGCGAUGGCGUGGUUGCGUACAAGUCACUCCAUGUCACUUCGGUGCGCUCUGAAGACGGUAUGGCAAAGGGCGGCGACUCAGAUGCAGGGGUCAUGCGGCAGAGAUGUGGCGUGCUCGACCCCAUGUGUGGCUGUGGUGGAGGGUGACAUCACGGCUACGGGAGAGGACGGUACGGUCACACAUGGGUUAGGCCAUGGCGUUGCAGCGGGCGCAGCUGGAUGCUCGGCUGGGUUAUUAGCCUCUGCAUCAGUUGCAUGUCCAUCUUGUUAG
rnacentral:rRNA from 1 species